rnacentral:rRNA from 1 species
AUUGAACGCUGGCGGCAGGCCUAACACAUGCAAGUCGAGCGGAUGAAGAGAGCUUGCUCUCUGAUUCAGCGGCGGACGGGUGAGUAAUGCCUAGGAAUCUGCCUGGUAGUGGGGGACAACGUUUCGAAAGGAACGCUAAUACCGCAUACGUCCUACGGGAGAAAGCAGGGGACCUUCGGGCCUUGCGCUAUCAGAUGAGCCUAGGUCGGAUUAGCUAGUUGGUGAGGUAAUGGCUCACCAAGGCGACGAUCCGUAACUGGUCUGAGAGGAUGAUCAGUCACGCUGGAACUGAGACACGGGCCAGACUCCUACGGGAGGCAGCAGUGGGGAAGAUUGGACAAUGGGCGAAAGCCUGAUACAGCCAUGCCGCGUGUGUGAAGGAGGUCUUCGGAUUGUAAAGCACUUUAAGUUGGGAGGAAGGGUUGUAGAUUAAUACUCUGCAAUUUUGACGUUACCGACAGAAUAAGCACCGGCUAACUCUGUGCCAGCAGCCGCCGUAACAC